rnacentral:rRNA from 1 species
GACGUAGGGCGCGAGCGUUGUCCGGAUUUAUUGGGCGUAAAGAGCGUGUAGGCGGCCCGAUUAGUCCGCUGUGAAAGUCCAGGGCUCAACCCUGGAAUGCCGGUGGAUACUGUCGGGCUAGAGUCCGGAAGGGGCGAGUGGAAUUCCUGGUGUAGCGGUGAAAUGCGCAGAUAUCAGGAGGAACACCAAUGGCGAAGGCAGCUCGCUGGGACGUGACUGACGCUGAGACGCGAAAGCGUGGGGAGCAAACAGG